GACCUGACAGGGAGUACCUGGUUGAUUUGAUUGGGAGCCCUGGAUGCUUAUGCGAACCAGAUUCCUCGCUCAACGGCCCAUCUUCUAUCUCAAUCUCUUCACCAUUGCGAUUUCCGAGAUUCAGAGAAGUUGAACCGACAACUGAUUUCAGGUCACUUGCCAAACAGUAUUUCUCGGAUUGUCAAUCGCUUAAUCUUGUGUUUGAGGAAUCUUCAGCAGGAGCUGCUGUUGAUGGAGACGCAGGACAAACUGACCGAAAUAACAUUGAGAGAAACAGUGCUGUCACUGGUCCAAGUAACCGUGAUGAAGUUUCUCGGUUACCUGUGCCUGCAAUUAGGGACAUGGCUCCUGUGAAGUAUGUCCGUCCAGUUUUGCAUGGAGAUACACAAUUAUCAGACCCAAGAGAUAUAGGGAAUGAUAUGCGAUUUCUUGAGAGAGGAAGUCAACUUGUUCCCUCUAAAAUAAGUAGAGACAUUGCCCUUGAAAUAGAAGAUUUUGAUAUACCCUGGGAAGAUCUUGUUCUGAAGGAGAGGAUUGGGGCAGGGUCUUUUGGUACU
rnacentral:misc_RNA from 1 species